CUACGUAUUCAUCAUUAAAAUCUAUACCACCUGUAGCUUGUAGGUUGUGUGACACGUACAUUCAUGCUUUUUGUUUUAGGGAAGCAGCCACCUGAAUUUUAACAACUCCCCCCAAAAUUAACUCGGAAGUGACGUUUCAGGAUCGAUGAUCCUCAAAUGCACCACCACUUUUCCAGACGUCCACCUACGACGUUCUGCCUCAGUUCUCUCCGUAGCAACCUGCUGAUAACAUGGUGCCCGUGGACCUGAAAAGAGCUCACCAGUGAUGGGGCAUUGGGUAGCGGGGCAGUUGAGCUUAUCCCAGCUGACUUGGGGCGAAAGGCGCACUACACCCUGAACUGGUCGCCGGCCUCUCACAAGGCACACAUGGACACGGGCAACCAUUCGUACUCAUGUUCACGCCGUCA